rnacentral:misc_RNA from 1 species
GAAUGAUCAUAUCCCAUUAACUGAAGCUCAGUGUGUUAAUUCUGUAACAAUUAAUGUUGUUUCUUAAUGUUAUUCUCAAAUUUCACUGAGACAACAUUAAAGAAGAGCACAUGUACCAGAAAAAUACUCAAUUUAUUAUCUACCUGUCCUUCAAAAGUGUCUUUAUUGCAAUCAACCUAACAAGCAUCUGUGAUUCUCUACUCAACUAAACUAAAGGUCAGUCCCAAGUAGAGUCAGCUACAUGCAUUUCAGUGAUAUGAAAAAACUUAUCCCA